ensembl:ncRNA F35B12.11 ncRNA
UUCCCGCCCCUUUAAACUAUUGUACUGGCAAUCGUGUAAGCUCUUGCUACCGUGCAACACCACCAACAGUCAAAUCCAAAUUCCAGUUUUGAUCUGACCCCACGGAGCAAACAUUGUGUGUAUAAUGUACAUAUACUGUUGGCUCCUUC